rnacentral:lncRNA from 10 species
AUUGGCAUACAGACAGACAUGUUGGUCAAUGGAACAGAAUAGAGAGUACAAAAAUAAACCUUUACAUUUAUGGACAAUUGAUUUUUGACAGUGGUGCAAAGGCAAUCCCCGUAGAAAAGACAGCUUUUUUUCAACAGAUAAUGUUUAUUGAUAUGGUUUGGCUGUGUCCCCACACAGAUUUCAUCUUGAAUUAUAGUUUUCAUAAUCCCCAUGUGUCAUGGGAGGGACCCGGUGGGAGGUAAUUGAAUCAUGGGGGCAGUUACCCUCAUGCUGUUCUCAUGAUAGUGAGUGAGUUCUCAUGAGAUCUGGUGGUUUUAUAAGGGCCUUUCCCCUUUUUGCUUGACACUUCUCCUUGCUGCCACCACGUGAAGAAGGAUGUGUUUGCUUCCCUUUCUACCAGAUUGUAAGUUUCCUGAGGCCUCCCCAGCCAUGCUGAACUGAGUCAAUUAAACCUCUUUCCAUUAUAAAUUACCUAAUCUUUGGUAUGUCUUUAUUAGCAGCGUAAGAAUGGACUAAUAUAGAAUUGAAUUGAUAUACAAUAAAUGACUUUAGACCUUUAUCUCACAUCAUACACAAAAUUAUUAUUUUUUGCCUUUUUAAUUUGUAUUUUUAUUUAAUAUUUUUUAUUUCAAUAGCUUUUGGGGUACAAGUGGUUUUUGGUUGCAUGGAUGAAUUGUACAGUGAUGAAAUCUGAGAUUUUAAUGCAAGCGUCACCUGAGUAAUAUACGUUGUACCAAAUAUGUAGCUUUUUGUCACUUGCCCUCCCUCCUACCCUCCCCCUUCUGAGUCUCCAUAGUCCAUUAUAUCACUCUGUAUGCCUUUGCAUACCCAUAGCUUAGCUCCCACUGGUAAGCGAGAACAUGCAAUAUUUGGCUUUCUAUUCCUGAGUUAUUUCACUUAGAAUUAUGGCCGCCGGCUCCAUCAAAGUUGCUGCAGAAAACAUUAUUUUAUUCUUGCUUAUGGCUGAGUCGUAUUUAUGGUAUAUAUAUACCUUAUUUUCCUUAUCCACUUAUUGGUUGAUGAGCACUUAGGUUAGUUCCUUAUCUUUGCAGUUGUGAAUUGUGCUGCAAUGAAUAUAUGCAUGCAGGUGUCUUUUUUAUAAUGAUUUUUUUUCCUUUGGGUAGAUACUCAGAAAUGGGAUUGUUGGAUCGAAUGGUAGCUCUACUUUUAAUUUUUAAAGAAAUCUCCAUACUGUUUUCUAUAGAGGUUGUACUAAUUUACAUUCCCACCAGCAGAUAUACACAAAAAUUAAUUUAAAUGGACCAUAAGCUUCCAUGUAAGAACUAAAACUAUAAAACUUCUUUAAAAGAUAGAAGAAAAAUCUUUGUGGCCUUGAAUUAGGUAAAAAAAAGAUUUUUAGAUUUGACAUCAAAAAUAUGAUUCAUAAAAGAAAAUAUUGAUAAAUUAUACUUCAACAAAAUUUAAAACUUUUCUUCUUCAAAAGACAGCAUUAAGAAAGUAAACAGAUAAACUAUACACUUGGAGAAAAUAUUUGCAAAUGGUUUAUUUGAUCAAGGAUUUAUAUACAGAUAAUGCAAAGAAUUUGAACAGCUCAAUAGUUAGAAGCUAAUUAAAAAUGUGUAAAGGAUUUUAGUAGACAUAUCACCUAAGAAGAUAUAUAAAUGGCUAACACAUGAAAAAUGUUCCAAAUAAUUAAUCAUUAGGGAAAUGCAACUAAAACCAGAAUAACGUACAUUCAGUUCAUACCCACUAAAAUGCCUAUAAUUAAGAGAUUGACAAUACCAAGUAUUGACAAGUAUGUGUUGGUAAGAUUUUAAAAUGACAUAGUCAUUUGGAAAAUAGUUUGAAAGUGUGUUAAAAAGUUAAACCUGUACUUAACAAACGAUCCAUCAAUUUCACUCCUAAGUAUCUAUGAAGAGAAUUGAAGGUUUAUGUCUACCUAAAAGCGUACAUGGGGGUGUUUGAAGCCACAUUAUUCAUAAUAAGUAAAAACUGAAAAUAAUUCAAAUAUCCAUUAACUGGUGCAUAGAUAAAGUAAACUAUCCAUUAACUGGUGCAUAGUAGAUCUGUACAAUGGAAUCCCUAGCAGCAGCGAACCAAGGCUUCAAAGUUCCCUAGUGGUUUCUUUGCCCUCACUGCUGCAUGCCACAAAAAGACCAUGCUAUGAAAAGACCAACAUCUCCAAGCAUAGCUGUAGAUGACUUUGCUUUCACUUCUGGUUACAACUGAACUUACUCAUUCUUUGUCUUCUAAAGAAGCCAUUCAUUUCUUGAGAACUUUUCUGGUGUUUGGUUCCAGAAUCUGUCUUUUAGAUGACAAUUUUUUUUCUUCAGAGUUAGACACAGACUCCAUGGCAUUUUACUAUAUUUAUAGCGUAUUUUUAUUAUAGUUAUGAAAUCAGUUUUUUUCUUUUUAAUGGAGUUCUUUUUCAAGUUUGAUUUUUUCUUUUUUCUUUUCUUUUUUUUUUGUGUGUGUGUUUGUUUGUUGAGACAGGGUUUCACUCUGUCACCUAGGCUGGAGUGCAGUGGCAUGACCUCAGCUCACUGCAACCUCCACCUCCUGGGUUCAAGCCAUUCUCCUACCUUAGCCUCCAGAGUAGCUGGGACUAGAGGUAGGCACCACUACGCCUGGCUAAUUUUUGUAUUUUUUUGUAGAGACAGGGUUUCACCAUGUUGGUCAGGCUGGUCUUGAACCCCUGACCUCAAGUGAUCCACCCACCUUGGCCUUCCAAAAUGCUGGGAUUACAGGCGUGAGCUACUAUGCCCAGCCCCGAAUUUGAUUUUAUUAUACCAAUAUUAUCUUCUCCCCCUCCCACAGUUCCCCAAACACUUCUCUACACACUCUGGUCUGGCACAGUUUCAAAUUUGUGGAGUUGAUAUCUGGGGCUCCUACUGGAAGGAGGAUAAAAACAGAAGGAAUUUGGCACGGGGCUCCUCCAUCUUCCACGCAUGCGGCAUUUGUUCUGAGAAUGUCAGCUCCCUCACAGUGCAUGUCAGAAUGGCAUGCCAGCAUGGGCCUCUGGUCUAGCACACAGAAAGGGUGAAGAGUACACAUGGUGACCAUUGUCACUUUGCAGAUUUCCUGCCUCCCACUCACAUGUCUGAGACCAGUUUUGCUACUGUUGCACCGCUAACCACAGAAGCCAGAAAGGGAAACGACUUUCUUUCUUUUCUUCUUUUUUUUUUUUUUUUUUUGAGAUGGAGUCUCACUUUGUCGCCAGGCUGGAGUGCAGUGGCACGAUCUCGGCUCACCGCAACCUCCAACUCCCUGGUUCAAGCUAUUCUCCUGCCUCAGCCUCCCAAGUAGCUGGGAUUACAGGCAUGCACCACCACACCCAGCUAAUUUGUGUAUUUUUAGUAGAGACAGGAUUUCACCACGUUGGCCAGGCUGGUCUUGAUCUCCUGACUGUGUGAUCCACCCGCCUUGGCCUGUCAAAGUGAUGAGAUUACAGGCGUGAGCCACUGAGCCCAGCCAGGGAAAAUAAGUUUUCAAUAGAGAAUUUUCUAUUAAGGAAGAGAGUGUUCUUUCAGCAAAGACAGGCUUUAGCCACACCUGUUUUUAUAAGGAUUUGAGGGGAGGGAAAUAUGCCAAGAGACAACUUCAGAAGUUUAUAAAGACAAGAGCGACCUCUCCAAAACAGCUAGGAGAGUGGGUCUUUAGUGGUGAGGUCUUCAUCUCUGUCUGAUCUCUCUAGGCUGAAGGAAAGAUGUGAAUUUGCUGUGAAGGGAUAUUCUCCUCAAGGACACUUACCAUCUGUUUCCUGGGGAUAGGAAGAAUUGAUGAUAACCCAGAUCGAAGCUGCUUCUGCAGCCUGACCCCAGAACAAAGGAGCCAUGGAGCAGAGCUACAGAUACCCACAAGGGAAAUGUAAUGUAAGAGAGAAAUAAGCUUGUAGUAUUGCUGUGAUUUGGAGAGUCCUUUGUUACUGCAGUUUAACUGCCUAAGCCGACUGAUACACAGUAUUUCACAAUUUGCUUUUCUAACUCUAUUUCCCAUUAUUCCCUAACACUUAUUCCAACUCCUGCCAGACUGAACUACUUGCUUUUCCCCAAAGACCAACAAAUUUCUCCAACUCGAUGCAGUUAUUUGCUUCCUAUCUCCUGCCUGCCAACAAUACCUCUCAAAGUUUAAUUUCAACCUUCAAGUUCAUCUCAAGCGCUACUUUCUCUGUGCAGGGGUGUCUGAUCUUUUGGCUUCCUGGGCCACACAUAAGAUACACUAACACUAAUGAUGACUGGUGAGCUAAAAAAAAAAAAAAAAAAUCUCAUAAUGUCUAAAGAGAGUUUAUGAAUUUGUGUUGGCCCACAUGCAGCCUGCGGUACACAAGCUAGACAAGCUUGGUAAAAAGCCCUUCCCCAUUCCUUUGAUGCCAACUACUGUAACCUAUGUUUAUUGUUUUUACAUAUUUUCUUAUCACCUCCGCCAAGAAAAAAAUCAUAAACUCCUUGACAUUAAAGACUAUCUUAUUGGCCAAGUGCAGUCUCUCACACCUGUAAUCCCAGCACUUUGGGAGGCCGAGACAGGCGGGAUCACUUGAACUCAGGAGUUCGAGACCAGCCUGGCCAACAUGGUGAAACUAUGUCUACUAAAAAUACAAAAAUUAACCAAGAAUGGUAAUGUGCUUCUGUAAUCUAAGCUACUUGGGAGGCUGAAGCAGGAGAAUCACUUGAAACCCAGGAAGUGGAGGUUGCAGUUAGCCGAGAUCACACCACUGCACUCCAGCCUGGGAGACAGAGCAAGACUCUGUCUCAAAAAAAAAAAAAGACUAUCUUACUCACCACUGUAUUCCUUGAAGCUUUGCAAAUAGUAGGUAUCCACUCAAAUAUUUAUCAAAUUAGCACAUUCAAUUAGAGAACUGCUGUUUAAUAUGUUUACUUUUUUACAGGAAGAUUUUAAAGAACAUUUAACAUACUCAUUGGGGAAGCAAAAUUAAGAUACAAGAAGAAUUAAAAAUCAUAGCAAAUAGCAAAGAUUCCUACUGAGUAAAAUAUGGGCCAGGCACGGUGGCUCACAUCUGUAAUCCUAGCACUUUGGGAAGCUAAGGCAGGCAGAUUGCUUGAGGCCAGGAGUUCGAGACCAGCCUAGGCAAAAUAGCAAGACCUCAUUGCUACUAAAAAUCAAAAAACUUAGCCAGGCUUGUUGGUGUGCACCUGUAGUCCCAGCAACUUGAGAGGCUGAGGUGGGAGAAUCACUUGAGCCCUGGUAGUGGAGGUUGCAAUGAGCCAAGAUCAUGCCACUGUACUCCAGCCUGGGUGACAGAGCAAGACCCCAUCUCAAAAAAAUAAAUAAAUAAAAAUAAAGUAUAACUCAAAGUUUAAUGAAUCUCUUUCUCUCUCUCUCUCUCUCUCUCUGUAAAAAUAAGCAUGUCUUGACCUUCAUCUCUCUCCCUGGAUAUACUCAACAGAUCUUAAAGUAAAACUUCACCAAAGGGAAACAAUGUGUCACACGACUCACGAGUUACAACCCCUAUUGUUACAGUCCAUAUGCUAAAAGCAAGGAUUUUUCUAAUUAUGGAACAAAUUAGCUUAUGUAAAUUCUUAGGCGUAGGAAAAAUGUAUUUCCCUGCUUAUGAUUAAAAGCCAACAAAAUAUAAUUCCAAUUUUAAAACAAAUCCCCUUACCAAACCCCAACAGCAAAGUGCUGCCCCUACAAACCUCACAGCAAAUAGAGAGUCCUUAUUCUCAGUGACUAGCAGCUGCCUCUUUUCUCACUCCUCUCCAGCUUCAAUUAACCUAAUGCCCUCUGAGACAUUUUGGCAGUAAUUGCAAAGCUUCUUCCGGUUUGGGAAUCUAAUUUAAUUAGAUUGGCGAGACUUGAUUUUAGAUGUUUCUCCUCAAUACCAAUUCAAAACUUAAUACUUACUUUGCUUUUGUUUCCUGGUAAUAACUGGUUUACGGCCCUGAGAAGAAAAACUGGGGCCAAUAAAACAAGCUGGAUUAGCCUGGUUCUUCACUG